rnacentral:rRNA from 1 species
GACGAACGCUGGCGGCGUGCUUAACACAUGCAAGUCGAACGGAAAGGCCCUGCUUUUGUGGGGUGCUCGAGUGGCGAACGGGUGAGUAACACGUGAGUAACCUGCCCUUGACUUUGGGAUAACUUCAGGAAACUGGGGCUAAUACCGGAUAGGAGCUCCUGCUGCAUGGUGGGGGUUGGAAAGUUUCGGCGGUUGGGGAUGGACUCGCGGCUUAUCAGCUUGGUGGUGGGGUAGUGGCUUACCAAGGCUUUGACGGGUAGCCGGCCUGAGAGGGUGACCGGCCACAUUGGGACUGAGAUACGGCCCAGACGCCUACGGGAGGCAGCAGUGGGGAAUAUUGCACAAUGGGCGGAAGCCUGAUGCAGCAACGCCGCGUGCGGGAUGACGGCCUUCGGGUUGUAAACCGCUUUCGCCUGUGACGAAGCGUGAGUGACGGUAAUGGGUAAAGAAGCACCGGCUAACUACGUG